ensembl:lncRNA
GUCCGCGGCCGCUGUGGCGGGUGAGAGCCUUUGACUGGGAAGGGGCGGCGGGAGGCGGCCUCUGGCCCAUCCCCGCUCCUCAAUCGCUCACUCUGGUCACCGGGCCGGCCUGGCCACACCCGGCCGGGAAGGGCCGCCUCUCAUCCUUGAGGCCUGCGAGCACCCAGGGGUGAUAUGAGAGCCCUCCUGACUCGAGAGGCAUCCGGAGGGUCGUGCGCCCAUCCCGCGUGCUCCCAGUUCGCGCCCGAGCCCGACUGUGCCCACCUGACAACUUCCGGGCUCCCGGUGGAGAGGAACCCCAGCCUCACGGCCACUCACCCAAGUCCCUAAACACCUACCACUGUGCAAGCACCUGGGGCUGGCAUUGCCCACUGCCUUGGGCUGCAUCUGCUCAAACUCUUACAGCUGCAUGCAGAGACGGGUGGCAUCACAGCCUGAGCCCUGUGCCAGUGACUCCAGGCAGCCCGCCCUGCUGCACAGCCCAGGCGACACGGACACCAUCCUUCCUUCUGGCCGCUCCAGCACCGCGAUCCCCACCCCACCCCCGCACUUGACCUCUCCCACCCACCCUGCCUGUCCAGCCUCAGCUUUCUGCCACAAGACACAGGCUGGACCAGGAAGCCUCCUGCACCUGGCCCUGGCCCAUCAGCGCCCUGUGUCCCUGUGUCCUCCACAAGCAGGUCCCCUUGUCCGUCCUGGAACUCCUGGAGAAAUUUUACCCCAACUGUGGAAUUGCUUCAGCCCUGCUGUACCUUGUUUUUUGUUUUGUUUUUUUUCAGUACUGGAGAUUGAAUCCAGAGCCUACAUACUGAGCUACAUCUUCAGCCCUUUCGUUUAUAGUUUUGGGUUGAUUUGUUUGUUUUUCUUGAUACCAGCGAUCGAACUCAGGACCUUGCGAUUGCAAAGCAGGGAGAGCCCUACCCUCGAGGCAGGCAGCAAAGAACCAGCACAGCCUAUGGAUCCUUCUCUGGAGGAGCCCAUGGCACUGGCAGGGGCGCUCUCCUGAGCUGCAGAGGUCUGGGCACCGCAUCCUCCGUGACAGCUAUGGUGUGCAGGAGAGGCAGGGGCGCCCAGCAGCAGCCGGGCCCAGGCCAGGAGGGAGGGUGUAUGGGCCCCCUGAGCAUCCUGGGAGCCACCGUGCUGCUCCUGACCCUGCCAUGGGGGGCCCAGGGCACUGCCCCAGCUGACCUCAGCACUGCUGUAGGCCACAUGGUGCCCCUGGCAGGGGGCCGCUAUCUGAGCAUUGGAGAUGGCUCUGUGGUGGAGUUUGAGUUCCCCGAGGAGAGUGAGGGCAUCAUUGUGAUCUCAAGCCAGUACCCGGGCCAGGUCAACGGGACCAGGCCUGGCCCUACCCUGAAGGUCACAUCC